rnacentral:tRNA from 1 species
UGAAGCUUAGGAUUACAUCAAACCGAGGGCCUUCAAAGCCCUAAAAAAGAGAAUAAACCUCUUAGCUUCUG